CGCCAGGAGGACGCCCACCUCCGCCGCGAUCUGCAGGCCCCGGCCACUGUGCUGCUUCCCGACGUCCUCAGCCCUGACCGCCGCCCUCUAAUCUCAUGCGCAAGGAUAAAAACUAGGUAAACACUAUGGGGCUGCCUAACUUCAGCCAGGGCAAGGACGUACCUUCCAUUUUCCUUCACUUGUUAGAAUAAUCGAGAGACCACUUAUCAAGCUAUCUUCUAUGGCGUCAGCAGCCAUCCUCCACCUAGGCGCUGGACUCGCAUGGACUUCCUGCUGUUUCAUGUGCAAUAGUGAUAGCUUGGGAGAAGAAAGCUGUCAAGUAUCCAGCGAGCAUGCCUCUGCUACAUCAAUGGACGCUGCUGCAAGCUCAAGCACGCGCAAUCCAUGCCUGACUUUUGAGAUUGGAAGUUCACAUUAUAAACCUGAAUAGUUCACUUUAAGCGGCACUGCAGUUAAGUCGGCCAUUUCCUUUGACACACCGAGCUCUGAAGUUUGGUGGGACUAAUUUGUGAAAUCCAACUUUUCUUUUGCGUUUUUUCUUUCAUGUGAAUCGAAUGCUCUUGCAAAUUGGGAAAACGUGAUGAGACCUGACUUUGUACGUGUAUGAUUUUGGAUAACUUUUAUAUUGUGUGGAGUUCACUGUUCGGCAGCA